GACGUAGGGGGCGAGCGUUGUCCGGAUUCACUGGGCGUAAAGCGCGUGCAGGCGGCCUGUUAAGUCCCGUGUGAAAGCCUUCGGCUCAACCGGAGGAGGCCGCGGGAAACUGGCGGGCUUGAGGGCGGCAGAGGGUGGUGGAAUUCCCGGUGUAGCGGUGAAAUGCGUAGAUAUCGGGAGGAACGCCAGUGGCGAAGGCGGCCACCUGGGCCGUCCCUGACGCUGAGACGCGAAAGCUGGGGGAGCGAACGGG
rnacentral:rRNA from 1 species